rnacentral:rRNA from 1 species
UACGUAGGGCGCGAGCGUUGUCCGGAAUUAUUGGGCGUAAAGAGCUCGUAGGCGGUCUGUCGCGUUGUUUGUGAAAUCUCACGGCUUAACUGUGAGCGUGCGGGCGAUACGGGCAGACUUGAGUACUGCAGGGGAGACUGGAAUUCCUGGUGUAGCGGUGGAAUGCGCAGAUAUCAGGAGGAACACCGGUGGCGAAGGCGGGUCUCUGGGCAGUAACUGACGCUGAGGAGCGAAAGCGUGGGGAGCGAACAGG